AGGAAAUUUCGGAUAUCUGUUCGACUCUCGUGACGAGCCACCAAGGGCACCAAGUGAAUGACAUAUCGAAAUUACCAGCCAUUGCAGAUCUUUGUGAAAUCCUAAAACAACUUUCAAGUAUGUGGGAUAUAUAGAGAAACAUAAUUGAUGUUAUUAUGAUAAUGGUUACAAAAAUAUCUGAACAUGAACGAUAACCUGAAACUAUUAGUCAUUCAUUAGAUUGGACAUAGUAUGCUGGAUAUUUAGGGUCAGUUCACAUGGUACCGAGUAAUCUUGGGCUUCCGAGAUAUUGCAUCAGUCCAGAGACGGAUUUUGGGUGCAAAAACUUUUGGUGGCGGUGCCAAAUGCCUCUGGGGGGGGGGGGUGCAAAUCAUUUCUGGGGGGGUACGCACCCCCCAGAAAAUCUGUGCCUGCAUCAGUCAAUUCCAGCUGCGACCAUCCCCCACCCGGACCGUGUGUGGCUAACUUGUCUCCACAACUAUCCCCCCGGACUGUGUUACGCUUACUUGUCCCCACGGCCGGGCAUUUGCAGCUGCGUGUUCACCCAGGGGCCGGGCAUUUGUCAAUGUCUUGUUAUUAUAUACCUCCGGGCAUUUGUCGCUCAUGGAGAAAAGACCGCGGCCACAAAUUUCCUUUGUCGUAUGCCAAAAUGGACGACUUUUAACUGAAUAUGUUAAACAAAUUUUAUGUUAUAUUAUAUUAUUGUUGAAUGUUGGUUUUCAAGUAUUAAUCAAUGUUUAAGAAUUUCCUUCAGUCCAUAUUAUAUAUAUUGUAUUUUCAAUGAAAAAACUUUCUGCAAUAAAAGCAAGUGUGUCACAGCCUUUCGUCGACGUUUUCAUCUGAAGUGAACACAAUAGUUUUCCUUGUGUUUUUUUUAAAUCCCCUGGGGGGCGGGGUUGGUCGCAGCUGGAAUUGACUUAUGCAUAACUUGAGGGUGUUCAAUGUCAAAGUUACUGUAGCUCUGUUUCACAUGGCAAAAUGUUAUCUCGGGGGCCAAGGAUAUCUAAGAAUAGAAACAAGUCUUAGGUUUGUCGAAGACUGCCCAAGUUUGACCUAAAUUUAGAGUUUACCAAGUUAAUUAAUAACGGUGAUUUGAUUAACACUUCGAGAAAGACACGCGGGAGAGUGAUUGUGGUUUCUAUAUUUGGGAGUUUUAAAUAAAGUUUGUUCACUUUGAUCAAAUAAUCUGUAGUUCCCAUUAGUGAGGGACAACUAAAUCUUUGUGACGAAAAGAUGGUUGAAGGGGUACUUGAAUGUCUUGAGAGAGAGGCACAAUUUGAAUUAUGAAAAGAAGCGGUUCGAAUUGUCCGUAGGAGACGCUGUGGCCAUUACGUCAG